rnacentral:sRNA from 1 species
UAUUGGCUGCCUCAACAUUACUGAAAUUUCUUCCUGAUGCUCAAGCACUCAAACCUAUUAGGAUAGAUGAUUAUGAGGAAGAACCAAUAUUAAAACCAGGAUGUAAAGAGUAUUUUUGGUUGUUAUGCAAAUUAGUUGACAACAUACAUAUAAAGGACGCUAGUCAGACAACGCUCCUCGACUUAGAUGCCUUGGCAAGACAUUUGGCUGACUGUAUUCGAAGUAGGGAGAUCCUUGAUCAUCAGGAUGGUAAUGUAGAAGAUGAUGGGCUUACAGGACUCCUAAGGCUUGCAACAAGUGUUAUUAAACACAAACCACCCUUUAAAUUUUCAAGAGAAGGACAGGAAUUUUUGAGAGAUAUCUUCAAUCUCUUGUUUUUGUUGCCAAGUCUGAAGGACCGACAACAGCCAAAGUGCAAAUCACAUUCUUCAAGAGCUGCUGCUUACGAUUUGUUAGUAGAGAUGGUAAAGGGGUCUGUUGAGAACUACAGGCUAAUACACAACUGGGUUAUGGCACAACACAUGCAGUGUAAGCAUUCUUCUUUUCCUUUAAUCUUUAUAAAUUUUUAAUUCAGAAAUAAGAUUUUGAGGGCACUGUUUAACAAAAGAAUCUGCUCUUCACAUACUUUAACAUUAUAAAUGAUUAUUGGUAGGGUGUUAUUGAAGUUAAAAAGUAAACAUUGAUGUGAAGGACCUUUUUAUAUGCAUUUUAAAUACUUUGGCUCUUUCUGUAAAACUAAUUUGGGGCUAAGUAAAAUCAAGUUUUAAAAGUCUUGAAUUUUUAGAGAAUAAAUAAGUUUCCAUGUGUAUUCUUUAUUUAAAAAAUUAUAUAUAAUGUUCUAUAUAUAUUAAUGAGGUAACUAAUGGAGGUAGAGGCUGUUAAUGUAAGCAAAAUACCUUAUGUUUCAUAGUUUGUUUGGGGGGG